GGACAUUGUCAGCACAUGUUACUUAUUAUUACAUUACAUCUAACUAUGCAACAAAAUAAACCACCAUUUUCUUCAAAUCUAUACAACAAAAAAACACCCUUUUUCCUUCAUCUUCUUCCUUCUUUAUCUAAUAGAGUAUCUUUUUUCAGAACUCAGAAAAAGAAACAAAGCACAGAGUAAAAAAGAGAACAAAAAAUAAGCCCAAAAACUCCAUUUUUAUGACCUUUAAAGGCUUAAACAUUGACAACUCUUUUUCUCUGUACCCAAGGUAAAUUAAAACAGUAUUGGGUACACAUAAUAAUGAAACUUUAGGGAUUCACAUUUCUCAAUGACCAAAAUCCAAGACCUUUCAAUAUAUUUUGCUUUUCUCAUUUUCAUUUUCACCUUGUCAUCUUUGGAUUUGCGUUGACUGAGUGUGUUGACAGCCAAUGAAGGAGUAAUUUUGGGAAGUUACAUUUUGCUUUAUAUAUUAAUAAAGACAUAAUCUUUAUCUGAUUUGGAAAGGGACUGAACUAUGUUGUCCAAGGGUGAACAUCAGACAGUCCCAUUGUCUGUGUUGUUGAAACGUGAAUUGGCUAGUGAGAAGAUUGAAAGGCCUGAGCUUUUACAUGGUCAAGCUAGUCAGAGCAAAAAAGGUGAAGACUUUACGCUUGUUAAGACCGAAUGCCAGCGGGUUUUGGGUGAUGGAGUUGCCACUUAUUCUGUUUUUGGAUUAUUUGAUGGGCACAACGGGUCAGCAGCCGCUAUAUAUGCUAAAGAAAAUCUCUUGCAGAAUGUCUUGAGUGCUAUUCCUCCUGAUCUUAGCAGAGACGAAUGGGUUGCAGCACUGCCUAGAGCUUUGGUUGCCGGAUUUGUCAAAACAGAUAAAGCUUUCCAAGAAAGAGCGAAAACCUCUGGGACAACAGUCACGUUUGUUAUAAUUGACGGAUGGGUUGUAACAGUUGCAUCAGUUGGCGAUUCUCGAUGCAUUUUAGAAUCUGCUGAAGGCGGAAUUUAUUAUCUAUCAGCCGAUCAUAGGCUUGAGUGCAAUGAAGAGGAGAGAGAACGUAUAACCGCUUGUGGUGGAGAAGUUGGUCGUCUUAAUGCUGGUGGUGGUACAGAGAUUGGUCCUUUGAGAUGUUGGCCUGGUGGGCUCUGCCUUUCGAGAUCCAUUGGAGAUAUGGAUGUUGGCGAAUAUAUAGUUCCUGUACCCUAUGUGAAGCAAGUGAAGCUAACAUCAGCAGGUGGAAGGUUAGUAAUAGCAAGUGACGGUGUCUGGGACGCUUUAUCUGCAGAAUCGGCUGUUGAAUGUAGUCGUGGAAUGCCUCCGGAUGCUGCAGCUUCUCAAAUUGUUAAAGAAGCCAUACAGCCAAAAGGGAUUCGAGAUGAUACAACCUGUAUUGUGAUCGAUAUACAGCUCCCAGAAAAACCAAAUCCUCCAGCGCCACCACCCAAAAAAUCGGGAAAAGGAGUAUUCAAGUCUAUGUUUCGCAAGAGGACUUCCGAGUCAUCUUCUAAUAUUCAGAAAGAUUUUUGUGAACCGGAUGUAGUGGAAGAACUAUUUGAGGAAGGAUCCGCAUCACUUUCAGACAGGUUAGACGCAAAAUAUCCAGUCUGCAACAUGUUUAAGUUAUUCAUAUGUGCCGUCUGUCAAGUAGAAAUAAAGCCCGGACAAGGUGUUUCAAUACAUGCGGGCUCCUCAAAUGCAAGAAGUUCACGGCCAUGGGACGGUCCUUUCCUAUGCUCAAGCUGCCAAGAGAAGAAAGAAGCCAUGGAAGGACGAAGACCUUUUGGAGAUGGAAGAUAUAACAGUGAGUGACUAGUUUAACAGAGGUGCAGCAAUACUAACAACGUCUUCAUAGACGAUUUCACAAUUGGGAGGUAUGAGUGUAAAUUCUGGACUUGCAAUGAUGAGACAAUGUACCAAAAAUUUGGAGUAUUGGAAAGCAACACAACAAUUGUUCUUGGUCUGGAAUUGUUCUUUCCUUUGUCCAAAUGACAUUCUUUCAUCUGAAAAAAAAUCAGAAAAAUCAUGUGUGGUCUCUUUGGGAGGAGCCUCGAGAGAGAAUCAUUAACAUUUGCUAUAGUGUACACUCCUAUCAUAUGAAAAGAUACAACAACUAUACAAAAUCCAUAAAGUACACUCAUAAUAAUACUCACAACUAAAAUUUUGCUGUUAAGAGGAUAUGUUAUUGCCUUCCCUUUGGUCAAGAUAGUGAGUGGAUAUCUUCUCGCGAUAGGAGAUGGCUGACGUAAGGCUUGCUGAAGAUAUAAUUAAGUUAAUAUAAAUAUGUUCUUUUAACAUAUUGAACUGUAAGAUUAGAUGGUUACGCAUGUACUGAAGUGAUCAGACUCACAAUUCUUGGUUUACCUAGUGUUGCGUCCUAUAUUAUGUCGUCCACGCUCGUCUGGCCCUAGGCGUAUAGGGAGAAGUGGUUGUAGUGUUGGACUCUAUAUUAUGUCGCCAUGCUCAUCUGACCCUCUAGGCAUUGGAUUCUACUGAACUUGUGAAAUGAUGGUUGGAUUUUCUAUGGAAGUGGAGUGGAGGCGGAUGGGGCUAAUAUCCAAUGAGUUCAAUACAAUUCACUAUUUUCAACAUUGAACUUAUAUAUAUGUGUUUGUGAAAACAAACAUGGUACUAUAGAACAAAGACUUCAUGGUUAAAGCACAAAGAUCUUUGGUGGAAAAACUCUCUUUUUCUUGCUUUGCCACUUAGCCACUUGAAAAACUAUGUGCUUCUUUUUUCCAUUUCUCAAAAGACACUACGAAUUGUAGUAUGUCAAGACAAGACACAAGCAAACAUCUCUUAUCUUUGGCUUAGGAUAUAUUAUAUGAUAUGAUGGAAUUUAAAUAUGAGUGGUGUCUAAUUUUGGUGGAGAAAAGAGUAUGUCCACUCAAAUAAUGGCUCUAUGAUUGAGAUGUUGACCUUAACUAAGCAGCCAAAAUUCUUGUGUGGUCUAACAUGUUCUCUAAAAUGGACCACUUAGUACACGUGUGUCUGGUCCCACUAGCCCCAAUCCGCAACCUUUACCUAACUGUUACAUAACUCUCUUUGCUACUACUUUCCUAUGUUCUUUUUGGUCUUUCUCAACACAAAACAACUUUAAUUUUAAUGCACAUACUUUUAUUUAA